rnacentral:rRNA from 1 species
CCUACGGGUGGCAGCAGUGGGGAAUAUUGCGCAAUGGGCGAAAGCCUGACGCAGCGACGCCGCGUGGGUGAUGAAGGCCUUCGGGUUGUAAAGCCCUGUCGGGUGGAACGAACGAUCUGGCGGCGAAUAACCGCCGGGUGUGACGGUACCACCGAAGGAAGCCCCGGCUAACUACGUGCCAGCAGCCGCGGUAAGACGUAGGGGGCGCGCGUUCGUCGGGCUUACUGGGGCGACAAGGCACGUAGGCGGCGAAAUCCAUCGGCUUAACCGAGGGCCCGCAUCCGAUACUGUCUGGCUCGAGUCUAGGAGAGGAAAGCGGAAUUCCCAGUGUAGCGGUGAAAUGCGUAGAUAUUGGGAGGAACACCGGUGGCGAAGGCGGCUUUCCGGACUAGUACUGACGCUGAGGCGCGAAAGCUAGGGGAGCGAACGGGAUUAGAUACCCUAGUAGUC